rnacentral:tRNA from 1 species
GGCCAGUUAGCUCAGUCAGUUGAGUGUGGCGCUAACAACGCCAAGGUCGUGGGUUCGAUUCCCAUACAGUCCC